UGGUGAGAACAAGAAACGCGGCGGUGGAAUUCUCCUCUUCCGCUGCUCGGCUUGUCUGCUUGGCCCUG